AGGAAACUUUGUUCUCUGAUUCUUUUAUGGAUUUGAGUAAAAGAAGCGUACUUUUUAAUAAGCUGAGAACAGCUUUUGCUUUAAAACAUAUCUUGGAACAUGAAACUGGUCUUGAUGAUGAUGUGCAUACUUUCACUCAGUUGAAUUAGCUCUCUGAGGAGGUUUUCAUCUGCUAAGGCUAAUUUGGAGUUGUAUUUCAGUGGUAAAGUGUUUUAAGACCAUCAGUUGAUGAUCUGUAGGAAAAGAAACACAUCUUUUAAAUCAGAUAUGUGAUCCCAAAUUUUAUACUAGAUUUUACUCAUUCUUCAGCUUGAAUGUUCUGAAGUGAGUACACAUGUGAUUCUUAAAUACAUUGUAUUGACAUCUGUAUUGUCUAAACAAUGUUCUAAUAAUAAAUUAAGAUCACAGACAAGGAUGGAAUUUUGUGCGUUGUCUUGUAUUUACAAAAGGGAACAGAAUUCAGUAAAUAGUUAUUCUGUGCAUUUUCAAGGAAACAAUUUAGAAGUUAGGUUACAAUAAUAGUAAAUGUUGUUAGGAAUAAAAUAAACUUUCAUAUUCCUCUUUGAAUUGUAGUUUUCAUGUGUAUAUAUAUGAAGACAUAUACGAAGAACAGUUAUACAUAUAUAACUAUAUAUAUAUAUUAUACACACACACAUAUAUAUGUAUAACUGUUCCUCAUGCUUGGAAUACCUGUCUUCUAUGGUUCAUCUUGCAUUUCAUUAUUAAAUAGACUCCAAAAGAAAAUCUAUUUUUCAUAAAUGAUUUUUUAAAAAUCUUGCUUAUAGAACUAUACGGAUUUGUUUUUUGCAGGAGCAUAUUGGUGACGCUUUCUGCCUGAUUUGGACAGAUCAUAAUUAGUGUGCUCAUUAAGAUAUUUUAAGGAAUUUUAAUGAAAAUGAAAAUUCUGGGGUCCCGAAAGCAAAGAUGCUAGUGCGCUCAGGAGAAAAAAAAGCUGAACACGUGGCUUCAGAGCUACUGACUUAUGGAUGUUUAUAUUCGAUGUGUGAGAAGCUGAUGACAAAAAAGCUUGUUGUGACUCAGGUGUGACUUCAGUUCUCUCCAGACAGUGAACUUGGCUGGGUUCCUGUAAUACAGGUGUGUUCCCUAAAGCAGGCUGUUUGUUCUUUUCUAAUAUUUGAAGUCUUAUUUCUAUGUUUAAAGUAGAUAUACCUCAGUAUCAAAAGAAAGGUCACAAGUUCAGUAUUUUUUCUAUACUGAUGAAAUUGGACUUCUUUUUGUAGAAAAGCCC
rnacentral:lncRNA from 1 species